rnacentral:snRNA from 1 species
AUCCUAGUGCACGGGCUUUACACGUAUCAGUGAGGAGACAUCCGAGAUCGUGUUUUUGCUGGUUGAAAACUACCUAUUGACCACUCUGCCUGGUCUUCGGAUCGGUCAGGAAUUUUUGAACAAACAAAGUUG